GGAUAGCUCAGUGGUAGAGCAAGUGCUUAGCAUGCACGAGGUCCUGGGUUCAAUCCCCAGCACCUCCA
rnacentral:tRNA from 1 species